rnacentral:rRNA from 1 species
UAGGGAAUCUUCGGCAAUGGGGGGAACCCUGACCGAGCAACGCCGCGUGAGUGAAGAAGGUUUUCGGAUCGUAAAGCUCUGUUGUUAAGGAAGAACGAGUGUGAGAAUGGAAAGUUCAUACUGUGACGGUACUUAACCAGAAAGGGACGGCUAACUACGUGCCAGCAGCCGCGGUAAUACGUAGGUCCCGAGCGUUGUCCGGAUUUAUUGGGCGUAAAGCGAGCGCAGGCGGUUAGAUAAGUCUGAAGUUAAAGGCAGUGGCUCAACCAUUGUAGGCUAUGGAAACUGAUUAACUUGAGUGCAGAAGGGGAGAGUGGAAUUCCAUGUGUAACGGUGAAAUGCGUAGAUAUAUGGAGGAACACCGGUGGCGAAAGCGGCUCUCUGGUCUGUAACUGACGCUGAGGCUCGAAAGCGUGGGGAGCGAACAGG